AGGUCAUCUCCCUCCACAUCCUAAAAGUGCCAAUGUUUCCAUAAUUAUGUCCAGCACGAUGGUUAAGACAGUUGUCAAGCACAGUGCCAAGCUGAGCUCUGUCAAAUCAAAUAACAUGGAAGCAAUCAUCACCAUGGCAGUCUUCAACUUCCAGCAAGACAGUAGUAGCA
rnacentral:lncRNA from 1 species